UUUUUUUUUUUUUUUACAUUAGCUGAACAGAAACCAGCAGGAAUUUUCCAGCCACAUUUUUUGGACAUUCAUUAGAGUCCUUAAAUAAACAGUAUUUAAACCCAGACUGCCAACACACUAGUAAUCGGCAUAGAUUACACCUUUGUUUACAAAGCAAACACCAAAAUCAGGAGACUUUCAGAAUCCUGCUGUGUAUCUGAUAUCUCUAAUCUCUCUUUCUCUUUUUUAAAUCUUCUUUCUUGUAGCAAUUAAAAAUGUGGCUAGUAUCCACAUACCCAUUAAAACUGUGCAUUUAAAACUAUUCCUGAUUUAAAGUAGAUGCAAUACCAUACUCAUAAAAUCAGGUUUUGUUAAUCUAAAGUUCACAGAAAUGUUCAAAUUCUCAGAUGAUUUAUUAAGAUCUGCAGAUAUCUUAAGGCAAUUUCUGGCCUUAUAUUUAUAUCUUUUUGCAUUUAAUAAUAAUAAUAUCUGACUAUGCAAAAAUGCAAACAUCCUCAGAAGUGAUAAGCGUUUGUUUUGACCUUUUAUUAUUUCACAGCGUCUGCCAUAUAGCAAUAGCACGAAUGCCAUACUUGUGUGUACGCCUGAAAAUAAGUGUACUUAGAUUUUAAAGUUGGAUUCAUUUGCAUCUCGCAUUCUUCUUAGAAGUCAAACUUGAAACAUCUUAGUUAACAUUUUUUUUUAUAAACUCAAUUCCAGAAUUUAAUCCAGUAGUAGAAAGCUUGUUUUUCACAGAUAACAUGUUUGAGUAAAAAUGGAAGUGGAUGCAUUGGUACGGGAGCAGAUCAUAAGCAACUUCAGCUGCUUUUGAGCUGAAUAGCAAAACUGAGGCUCACUUUGCUUAGAAAGGCAGCUGGCUUACCUGGGUGACAGGUAAUCUAUUGGGAUCUUCCAUAUAAGCUUUAGACCCACAUAAUUUUAAUCACAGUGUACAAAGAACUGCAUGAAUCCACCUUUCCCCAGUGGAAUCAUUCUAUUUUGUCUUGGCGUAGUUUGAGACAAGAUCACCCUUGACAUCUUUUUUCUGUGAGGCUCUGUUGAAACACGGACUACCUGAUUUGUCAGUUACAACAGGCAUUUACAGUUCAAGCUGGAAAAUGAGUGUUAAACUCCCCAAUUUUGGCAUUUCACUAACAUGCUGCUUUUGUACUUUUGUGGGUAGAGAGCAGCUUUGCUUCAGUGAUUUUCUAGAUAUAAGUAGCUUUAAAAUAUUCUUAUCCAGCCAAUGAAAUAGAGCACGGGUGAUGUUUCAACGCCACGUCAUAACAGUGAACAGUUACAGGGUCAUCGUGUCAAUAUAUUUUACUCAUCUGGAAGCCUUCCUGGAGCAUAUAAUCUCAAAACAAGUCUCAAAUAUCCAUGCUUUGAAAAAAAUCCAUUAAGAAAAGCUACUUCUAUGUCUUGCUCAGUACAUGAACUAUCAAUAACACUUUCAAAAUAUGACAAAAAAGGACAAAAAUAGAUAAGGAAAAUACAGACUUUAGCAACAAGGGUCAUUUCAUGAACUACUUACACCAUAAUUCAGAUUAAAAAAAUCAGCAUGGUAUUGAUUUUAAAUGUUUUUUUGCCAAGGGAGCAAAUCAUAAAUAUACUCAAUUAGACACAUGCAGCAUGAUAUGUACUCAAAACUUUACUAAAGAUAAAAUAUGCUUGCUCAUACGCAUACACAGCACAGACCUGUAAAUGUUGGAAUAAUAUUUACUCCCUUUCCAAGACUUCUCUUUAACUUCUCCCCUCUUCGGGAAAGAUGACGGUCCUCCUUGUUAUCCUUGGAACUGGGUGUGUAAGCCAAAUGCCAAUAAAAGACUACAUCACUGGCUAGAUUCUAAAUAAUAUUAAAAAAUAGAAUAAAUCCCACUUGGAUUCAAAGCUGCAUCACUUACUGUCACACAAUUUUGUUAACUAGCCCUGUAUUCUGGCUGUCAAAUCUCAGGUAAAGCAAGUAACUGGGGUCUCUCCCACAUGUUCUAAAGCCUUUUAAAUGCAGUUAACAAACGUAAUUAUGCAAAUGUGUAUGAAGGAGAAGGUCUGCGUCCCUGAUUCCUUGUAUUUCCCUGGAAGCCUGCAUGUACAUUAGGAAGUUUUACAAGGGAGGGGAAAGAAUUUGUUCCCAUAAUAUGUGUACUCGUCCAGUAGUUCUGUGUCUGUCUGUUGCCUUUUUAAAAUCAUAGAGCUGAUCAUCAUAGUGAGCAGCCUUCCUGUAUGUGCCAGCAAGCAAUCAGAGCCAGCUACAAGCCCAGACCCAAGCUACCCCAAUUCCUGCUCUAUGAGACGAAAAGUUCACAUCUUUUUCUACCGCUUUGAUAGAACUGCGAGUUUGGUACAAAUUUUUCCAAGCAGGGCUGAAAUUCUAAAUCUAGCCUUGCUUUCUGAAGGACACAGACUCACCUUGCAGUGUUGUUUUGCUCAGUAAAUGGCUCUCCUCCAACUAAAAAGGUCAAAUGCGUAUCUCUGAACUCUCACAUUGGCCACAUAAAAAAAGACAGAACAAUGAUCAUUCUAGCACUGAACUUUCCAUAGUUUUCAAAACGAAGGAUCCACAAGUCAAAAAAGAGAUGUAGUUCUAAGCCCAGCAUUAGUAGAGCUACAAUGACUGUCACAAGCCUUAUGACAGUUAAUUCUUAAAUUAAAGGGCUAAUUCUGGCAGAGGCAAGUCAGAAGAGGAAAGAGAACAUCUGAUUUCACUCCUGCUUUUUUCAUGUGUAUAUACUUGCCUCAAUACUGAGGGCAAAAAUGCCUGAAAAAGUGAUCAAGUAUUAUAUAAAGUUACUUAGAACACAUCAAGAACCAUCCAUGAUUAGUUUUAAUUUUUGAAUGAUGGCAACUCCCAGUAAAAAAAGAGGAUUGAAGGUCAGCCAUCACCUAGAAGACUCAUUUUCAAACAGAAAAUGAGUGUUAUGAGCAGGAUAAAUUACCAAGCUCUGGCAGCUCUGCAGCAGGCAAAACCUUACAGCAUGUAGGAGAGGCAUUUUGGUUCAUUCUUACCGCAAUAUUGCUUAGGAUACUGCUUAUGCAAUUCAACUUGCUUACAUAGUUCCUUUGGUGUAUGUUUAUAGUAGCAAUGCAUAAAGUCAAAAGGGCACAAAACCACUAACCUGAAUAUUACUUUUCUGAAAAUUGAAACAUUUAAAAUUGUAUUAAUUAUUAAAAUAAGCUUUAUUGUGAGAUGGAAAGCACACUUUAGAAAAAUAGGUGACUUUAUAUCUGAGAAAAUUCUUAUGAAUCAACAUUUUUGGGAGAUGACUAAACUUAGAAAGCUGUUCGUUAAGGAUAAUACCAACUUUAGUUAGAAGUUAGUUUGUUUCCCCAUCUGCUCACCACCUCCUCCUCCUGCUCCCUCUCGUAUUCCUGUGAGGUUAUAUUCCCUUGAGAACUUCUCCUGUUUCAAAGUAACAAGAAUUUUAAUAAAGUUACAGUCACUGGGCCAAAAUAUCUAAACGUCAGUCUCGAAUCUCACUGACCCCUGGCAAUUUAUAAUAUACAUUACUGCUCAUAGCAUGCCACACAGUAAAAGGCUUACUUUAUCUUGGCAAAUUCUACAAGAGAAAGUAAACAUUUCUUCUCUAUAAAUUUUUCCACACCAAGCAGUUGUAAUAUGAAAGCUGUAAAUCAAAGAUGAGGGAAAAAUUAUGUCACUGUUUAUCAAUUGUUUUUACUGUACCUCUACAAGUACUGGAGCUAAAGAAUGAAGUUAUAUUUGAGGAUUUAUAUAAGAAAUCUUCCAGUGGCAUAGUUACAGCAUGGUUAUCAAAAAUCUUAACAAAUUACUACUUAUAUAAAAAAUAACACUUGUAGUUGUCCUUAUCAACAAUGAAAUGUAGUAUGUAGGUAAAUAAAGUUCACCUGGUUUGGAUUUACUGCUCUGAAGUUGUAAAAUUCUAUUUGACUGAAAUAAAAAAAAAAAAUUCUCUGUGUGUGAAUACACUUUUAAGUAUUUCCGUAAUUUGUUCAUUCUGUUUAAAAUCAACGUGUUUAAAAACUUUAAACAUGCAAAAAUGGUCACUUCAUAAACUAGGAUCUUUCUUGUCUCAUACUAAUAAAAUAGUGGAUUAUUAGAAAUAUUUAUAUAUUUGAUUUUAUAAGAAGGAAGAGAAAGUAUCACAAGCAUCUACUUAAGCAGAUGGGUAUGUUGGAAUAUCUCAUUUUGUAAGCAUUAGGGGGUUUUGAUCUACUGUAUGCCUGAUGAUUCACUUACUCAAAUCCUGAUGAUUCUGGGUCAAAUCUGUGCAGAAAAUCACAACUUCAUUGGAACUACCAAAACUUUCAUUUAUGGAGUAAAUGCUGGGCUGAGACAGAUGUAAAUCUGAUCUACACCAGUGCAACAGUGAAUGGUAAGAUUUCAGUACUAAGAAGCAUUAUUGUACAAAUAUUAUUUUUAAAAAAACAGUAGAUGAGAAAAAUAUAGUUGGAAAUAAUACAUUUGAUGUUUAAAAAAGAUUUCAACACCUUCCACACCAUCUUGAAAAAAAGGCGUGUCAUAAAAUAUAAUUUGAUUUGAGCGCUUUAUCUAGGUGUAUCUUGACAUUUAAUAGCUAUAACC
rnacentral:lncRNA from 1 species